UACGAAGGGUGCAAGCGUUACUCGGAAUUACUGGGCGUAAAGCGUGCGUAGGUGGUUUGUUAAGUCUGAUGUGAAAGCCCUGGGCUCAACCUGGGAAUUGCAUUGGAUACUGGCAGGCUAGAGUGCGGUAGAGGGUAGUGGAAUUCCCGGUGCAGCAGUGAAAUGCGUAGAGAUCGGGAGGAACAUCUGUGGCGAAGGCGACUACCUGGACCAGCACUGACACUGAGGCACGAAAGCGUGGGGAGCAAACAGG
rnacentral:rRNA from 1 species